GGCCGGUUAGCUCAGUUGGUUAGAGCGUGGUGCUAAUAACGCCAAGAUCGUGGGUUCGAUCCCCAUACUGGCCU
rnacentral:tRNA from 1 species